rnacentral:sRNA from 1 species
UUUCAGCCUUGAUGCUCCUGAUGUCUUC